rnacentral:rRNA from 1 species
AACGAACGCUGGCGGCAUGCCUAACACAUGCAAGUCGAACGAAGUCUUCGGACUUAGCGGCGGACGGGUGAGUAACACGUGGGAACGUACCUUUUGGUUCGGAACAACCCAGGGAAACUUGAGCUAAUACCGGAUGAGCCCUUAGGGGGCAAGAUUUAUCGCCGAAAGAGCGGCCCGCGGUAGAUUAGCUCGUUGGUGAGGUAAUGGCUCACCAAGGCUACGAUCUAUAGCUGGUCGGAGAGGAUGAUCAGCCGCACUGGGACUGAGACGCGGCCCAGGCUCCUACGGGAGGCAGCAGUGGGGAAUCUUGCGCAAUGGGCGAAAGCCUGACGCAGCCAUGCCGCGUGAAUGAUGAAGGUCUUAGGAUUGUAAAAUUCUUUUACCAGGGACGAUAAUGACGGUACCUGGAGAAAAAGCCCCGGCUAACUUCGUGCCAGCCGCCGCGGUAAUAC